rnacentral:rRNA from 1 species
UACAGAGGGGGCAAGCGUUGUUCGGAAUUACUGGGCGUAAAGGGCGCGUAGGCGGCCUGCUAAGUCGAACGUGAAAUCCCCGAGCUCAACUCGGGAACUGCGUCCGAUACUGACAGGCUUGAAUCCGGGAGAGGGAUGCGGAAUUCCAGGUGUAGCGGUGAAAUGCGUAGAUAUCUGGAGGAACACCGGUGGCGAAGGCGGGUCUCUGGGCAGUAACUGACGCUGAGGAGCGAAAGCGUGGGGAGCGAACAGG